rnacentral:rRNA from 1 species
GAUGAACGCUGGCGGCGUGCUUAACACAUGCGAGUCGAACGGAAAGGCCCAAGCUUGCUUGGGUGCUCGAGUGGCGAACGGGUGAGUAACACGUGGGUGAUCUGCCCUGCACUUUGGGAUAAGCCUGGGAAACUGGGUCUAAUACCGGAUAGGACCAUCGUUUAGUGUCGGUGGUGGAAAGUUUUUCGGUGUGGGAUGAGCUCGCGGCCUAUCAGCUUGUUGGUGGGGUAAUGGCCUACCAAGGCGUCGACGGGUAGCCGGCCUGAGAGGGUGUACGGCCACAUUGGGACUGAGAUACGGACCAGACUCCUACGGGAGGCAGCAGUGGGGAAUAUUGCACAAUGGGCGCAAGCCUGAUGCAGCGACGCCGCGGGGGGGAUGACGGCCUUCGGGUUGUAAACUCCUUUCGCCAAGGACGAAGCGUUUUGUGACGGUACUUGGAGAAGAGGCACCGGCUAACUACGUG